rnacentral:rRNA from 1 species
UACGGUGCUGUAGGAUGUGGCUGCGGCCCGAUUAGGUAGACGGUGGGGUAACGGCCCACCGUGCCAGUAAUCGGUACGGGUGAUGAGAGUCAGAGCCCGGAGACGGUAUCUGAGACAAGAUACCGGGCCCUACGGGGCGCAGCAGGCGCGAAACCUUUACACUGCACGACAGUGCGAUAGGGAGACUCCAAGUGCGAGGGCAUACAGUCCUCGCUUUUGUACACCGUAAGGUGGUGUACGAAUAAGAACUGCGCAAGACCGGUGCCAGCCGCCGCGGUAAUACCGGCAGUUCGAGUGAUGGCCGAUAUUAUUGGGCCUAAAGCGUUCGUAGCUGGCCAAUCAAGUUUGUCGGGAAAUCCACGCGCCCAACGCGUGGGCGUCCGGCGGAAACUAUUUGGCUUGGGACCGGAAGACUCGAGGAGUACGUCCGGGGUAGGAGUGAAAUCCCGUAAUCCUGGACGGACUACCGAUGGCGAAAGCACCUCGAGAGCACGGAUCCGACAGUGAGGAACGAAAGCUGGGGUCUCGAACCGGAUUAGAUACCCGGGUAGUCCCAGCUGUCAACGAUGCCCGCUAGGUAUGGCACGGGCUACGAGCCUGUGCUAUGCCGCAGCGAAG